rnacentral:rRNA from 1 species
UACGUAGGAGGCGAGCGUUGUCCGGAGUUACUGGGCGUAAAGGGCGCGUAGGCGGCCACCGCAAGUCGACUGUGAAAUCUCCGGGCUUAACCCGGAAAGGUCAGCCGAUACUGCGGGGCUAGAGUGCAGAAGGGGCAACUGGAAUUCUCGGUGUAGCGGUGAAAUGCGUAGAUAUCGAGAGGAACACCUGCGGCGAAGGCGGGUUGCUGGGCUGACACUGACGCUGAGGCGCGAAAGCUAGGGGAGCGAACGGG